rnacentral:rRNA from 1 species
CCUACGGGUGGCAGCAGUGGGGAAUCUUCCGCAAUGGGCGAAAGCCUGACGGAGCAACGCCGCGUGAUAGAAUGAAGGCCUGCGGGUUGUAAAGAUCUGUUGACAGGGACGAAGAAGCAAUGCGAAUAGUGUUGUGUAUGACGGUACCUGGUGAGAAAGCGCCGGCCAAAUACGUGCCAGCAGCCGCGGUAAUACGUGGGGAGCAAGCGUUGUCCGGAAUUACUGGGCGUAAAGGGCGCGUAGGUGGGCGCGUAAGUCAGGUGGGAAAACUCCGGCUCAACCUGGAGACUGCCCUUGAAACUGGGUGUCUUGAGGGCAGGAGCGGCAAGUGGAAUUCCUAGUGUAGCGGUGAAAUUCGUAGAUAUUAGGAGGAACACCAGUGGCGAAGGCGACUUUCUGGACUGUACCUGACGCUGAGGCGCGAAAGCGUGGGUAGCGAACGGGAUUAGAUACCCUAGUAGUC